CGUGAAGCCUAGGCCGUGCCAGCCCAUAGUUAUGGCUUCGAUGCCAGCGCAGACGGAGCCGUAGCGCAUUACUCGUCAGCCACCGCAGUCUGAAGCUUGGCAAUGAAGCGCCGGCCACGCUCGCGGAUCUUGAUCUUCUCGACGUGAUCGACCUUGCCGUCAGCCCGUGCCGCGCAAAUCUCGGCAGUGAGCAUCGAUCCGUCAGCGGCGAUUUCAUCCCAGUUCGUCUCGUCGGCUGAGAUCGGCUUCAGCGUGUAGCCGCUGUCCUCAACCAGCAGCGCGGCAAGGUCGUCGGGAAGCGCCUUCGCGAUCUUGUUGAAGGCUGCGAGCGACAUCAUCGACGGCUCGCGGGAAUUGGUGCGGCGAUAGGAUUUCAGCGUCUCGACCGGGAUACCCGUCUCGGCAGACAGAACGGCAAGCGUAAUCCCGUGCUGCUCGGCAA
rnacentral:misc_RNA from 1 species